GCAGCCGGAUUAAUACCCAGAUUUACACGCUGGACCCGUGUUGAGCCAGGAGAUCAUUUUGUCCCUUUGUUAGAGUUCUUUCUUGUCUGAAGGCUUAUUCUCGGCUCCUGCCGCUAAGGGGGAGUGUUGCCACGCCGCAGAGCCGGCCGUGGGCCGGGCCGGGCCCGAAGCAGCCGGGUCCCCUUCCCUCCCCGAGGCCUCUUCUUCCUCCGGGAGCCAUGGGAAAGGCAGAAGUGAAGGACUUGCCAUAGCAUCACCCAGGGGAGGGCUAAUACCCCCCUGUUCGAUAUCGAAGCGGGGAGUGACCCAGAUUUCAGACCCGUCUUGGACAAUAAGGGUAAGUAUCAUCCUUCCCUUGCGACCAGAUGGGUUUGACAACCUGGACCAAGAGAGACUGGCUGAUCCAUGAAGCGCUUUGAGGCCUGAGGAGGAGAGAUGCUGAUGAAGAGCUGGGAGAGCACGAUGAGGAUGCAGGACCACCCAGGGUUUUAUUCACAGAGUUGGAAUGAGGUGCAAAAGGGAUAAAGAUCAUUCAUGGGAACCUUGAAAGAAUUAUCUGAGCUCUAUGAAAUGAAGAUUAAAAAUAAAACAGGCUCAAUUUUCCGCUGUGGUGAUCCACAGGAGGCAGAGUACACCUGCUGAAACCUCUCUAAAGUAUCCCGUUGAAGUCACACACAGAGAAAGCAAGGAUUUGAAGGGGAUGGCAAUUUUUUAAAGAAACUUCCAAGCCCCGCUCUUUGCUGGGUGAUGGCAUCGCUCAGGACGUCACUAAGAGGAGGUGUCAUGAAAGCCGAUGACCUAAAAGACACCACCAAGAAGUUCCUUCCUCCAGACACUGCUUCAGCAUCUUUUGCAGGGCGAUGCUCCCUCCAGUCCUCACCCCUUGCCCUGCAGAAGGAGCUGGCAAAGCCGCUGAGCAGCUCAGGGCACUAAGCCAAAUGGAUAGACUUAAUUCUGCUGGCUGGAAAACCCACAGCAGCCAGGGCAGAGCGUGACCGCCGCCUGCAGUGAGCCCCUGUCCCCAGCGCCGUCCUCCCAGGCAGGGCUGGCUUGUCACCACUGGCCCCGAGCCUCAGGGGAUGGGGUGCUUCACCCAGUGCCACAGCUCCUGGGGUCACCCCAGCCUGACAAACCCAUCUAGGGCUGCCCCUAUGCCUCUAUCGACAUGGCCAGGCUCUGUCUGGCAGCAAUUUAACACGUGGAUGGUGUAUACAAAACUCCUUCCUGUUUUUCUGGCUGUGUUUCCCAGCCUGUUGGGAGCAGGGCAGGCGAGUGUGAUGCAGCAGGACUCGGGUCAUUGGUCUCUUCCCAUCUCAGCUUUGGGGUUCCUGGGUCCAUCCUGGCACCUUAAGAACAGCGAGGCUUGUUCAGGCGGAAAAGAAACAUUUGGGGCACAGGGUGGAGAAAAUUAUUUUUCCCUUUUGUGAGGGAAAAAGUAAAUCCUCAGUGCUUGUGUGAAAUGGCAGAGAAAAGGAGUCGUCUGGAUUACAGGGAGAGAAAUACCAAUUAUAUUAGAAUGGGGGUAAAAAUCAGGAAGGCUUUAUCAGGGCCAUUCGCUGACAAAACUUGCAGCUACAGGCUGUAUAUGAAAAGGCUGAUGUUUGAAUCCACAGAAACAUUUUGGUUAUAAUAAUCCUUCAGUAUUCAGGCAAAGCUUCUGUGGGGUCCAGUGGGACCCUUACUUGAGGCCUGGAGGAUUUACCUUAUCAGUCUUUUGAAAAUGUUAAAGAGUUUAAAACCACUGGCUGACUUACCCGGAGGAAAAUGCUGCGCGGCGGCGAUGCUGACGCCUGCGUGUCACGGCAAGAGCCAGCACACAGCGUCCCUGCAGAGGUGCCGGGCUUUGCUUUGUCUUUUCCCAUUCACUGUACAACAAGAGGAAAAGGAUGAAAGCAAGAACCUAUAAAGUUUCUCUCGCCAUGCUCUGUCAGCUCUUUUUUUCUCCUUUAUUUCCUUUGUGCUUGGCUGGGCUGUAAAGUCCUCUCUGUUCCUGACUGCCCUUUGCCCUCCGUGCUCAGCAAGGAUGUCAAAUGGCCAGUGCAGGGUCACCGGAGGAGCCUUCCAGGGACGUGCCGUGCUUUGUUAGUGGUGGCCCUGCCACGUGUCCCUCCCCAAAGGCUGCGGUGUUUGCUGUGAGCCGCACAGGCACUGAUGUGACCCGGGAGGUGAAGCUUUUCUGCAGCACCGGGUACCAAAAUGUCCCCAUGUGACUGUAUUCUGCUAAGGAGACAACGAGCCGUACCGGCACCUUGAGGAUCUGGUCUCCAGCACAUUGCAAUGGGAUUCAGGCAUGGUGGGGCUUUGAAAUACCACUUAGUGCUGCAAAAUGUGGUCACUGGGAACAACAUGAAGUGGUCACUGCCCUCGUCCUGGGUUGGUGGGAGAUGUCAGGCUUUGCUUUUGUGCCAGGGCUGUCUGCCCCGGGGGCUGCCGCAGCGCGGGGCUGCCGCAGCGCAGAGCUGCCCCGUGCCCCUGGCUGCUGUGUGGGAUGUACGCCAGGCACCAUGCUGGCAGGAAGAUGGAGACUUUAAAAAAAUAUUCAUUAACCUAUUUCUGUUUUCUGGCUGCUGCAGUUAUUUUGGGGCCCCAACUGUUUCCCACAUGACCUGAGUUUUACCACUUGAGGCAAUUGGAUUGAUGAAAACCCUUCUGCAAGGUUGUUUAAACCCCAAAUUAAGUGGAAUGAGGAGAACUGUUGAAAAGCAGCAAUCUCGGAUUUUCAAGAUCUCCACUUUCCAAUACAUGAUGGGGAGAAGGGCCAGCCUCGGCGUGCUGUGACCCUGCAGGUGUGUGGGCUGUGCCGGCAUAGGUGCAGCUCCUCACUUAAGCACGUCCCUGCUUGGAAAAUGACACCUUCUGGAAAGCUGGAGAUAAAAGGGCAUCCUAAUGUAGGAGGAGGAGCUUAGGUGAGGAGCUUCUGGGGACUUGUUGGAAAAUCAGAGAUGAGAAGUACACGCCAGGCAGCUCAAAACACUGGGGCAGGACCAGCUGCCACGGAGGAUGUUCUUGCUGCCACACAUGCCAGCAGCUUCAAGGGAAGGAUGGGAAAAAACGGUGACUGUCAAUAAAAAGGAAAUUCUUCCUGUGCUCAGACAACACUUGGACUACGUUCUGAAGGAUAAACCUCUGUAACCCAUAUGGCAUUUUUUCUCUUGUGCUUCAGGUGGCCGUGGCUCUUCUCACUAUCAAUCUGAAUGUCUGAUCAGCUCGAGCCCUGCACCACUGAAGCCUCAGAGACACUUUGUGGCAGUGUCUUCCAGAGGUUAAUGAUACAUUGUGGGAUAGUGGUCAGUUUUAAAUUCACCGCUGUCUGAUUUCACUUUAUAUCCUCUUGUAGUUGUGCUGCUGCAAAAAACCAGCCACCAGCUGCUCAUUGCAACAGUGUCUGGCUUUCACCUGACUAUUAAUUUUUUUUUUUUGGGGGUUCUUUUCACUUCCUGGUAAUUGGUGCUGGGUUGCUGGGGGGAAACCAUCUGCGUGACUCGAGAGAUUUAGAGUCAGUAACAGAAGGGAUGUUAUCAGAGUCUGGUACUUUAGAAGACUAUGGUAAUCCAAAGCUGAUUACAGCUGGGCUGGUGCAGUGGGAAAUUUGGGACAUAUUGGACACCGACACUUUCCAGCACCAUCAAGCAGCGUGGG